rnacentral:rRNA from 1 species
UACGUAGGGUGCGAGCGUUGUCCGGAAUUACUGGGCGUAAAGAGCUCGUAGGUGGUUUGUCGCGUUGUCCGUGAAAACUCACAACUCAAUUGUGGGCGUGCGGGCGAUACGGGCAGACUGGAGUACUGCAGGGGAGACUGGAAUUCCUGGUGUAGCGGUGGAAUGCGCAGAUAUCAGGAGGAACACCGGUGGCGAAGGCGGGUCUCUGGGCAGUAACUGACGCUGAGGAGCUAAAGCGUGGGGAGCAAACAGG